rnacentral:SRP_RNA from 1 species
GCCGGGCAUGGUGGUGCAUGUCUGUUAUCUCAGCUACUUGGGAGGCUGAGGCAGGAGAAUCACUUGAACCCAGGAGGUAGAGGUUGCAGUGAGCAGAGAGUGUGUCACUGCACUCCAGCCUGGGUGACAGAGUGAGACUCUGUCUCAA